CUGUGUGUAACUCUAGCUGUCCUGGAACUUCUACAGAUCAGACUGAUCUUGAAGUCACAGAAAUCCUCCUGCCUCUACCUCCUCAAUGUUGGAAUUAAAGAAGUGGAAACUCGGCCUGUCGGUUCUGAAAGAGAUUAGCGAAGGGACAGUAACCGUGAUGUCACCGGCAUAAACCUACACCGAGGUCCUGCUGAUGCUUUUCAACAAAGAUUUGGCCUCCUUCAAGCCACCAGAGGGACAGAGAGCUGACUGGAGCAUCCUAGACAUUGCUGGGAGUGGAGCCUGCACUUGGAAGAAGUGAACUGGUCCAGUGAGCAGUUGCAAAGAACUCAAGCUCAGCUCCCAGAGCCAAGCAGAUCUGACCUCAUCAUGCUGCCGGAUUUCCUGUCCUCCUCCCUUUGCUCUGUAACUGGUCCAUUCAGGUACAAUAAGCAGAAUGUUUUGCUUGAGAGAUGUAUCCUUUCUUUUCAGACAGGCAAAUAAAUUCAUCUUUGUUUCCAAUUA